UACGUAGGGUGCGAGCGUUGUCCGGAAUUAUUGGGCGUAAAGAGCUUGUAGGCGGUUUGUCGCGUCUGCCGUGAAAAUUCGAGGCUCAACCUCGAACUUGCGGUGGGUACGGGCAGACUAGAGUGUGGUAGGGAGACUGGAAUUCCUGGUGUAGCGGUGAAAUGCGCAGAUAUCAGGAGGAACACCGAUGGCGAAGGCAGGUCUCUGGGCUAGAACUGACGCUCAUGCACGAAAGCGGUGGGAGCAAACAGG
rnacentral:rRNA from 1 species